rnacentral:rRNA from 1 species
GACGAACGCUGGCGGCGUGCUUAACACAUGCAAGUCGAACGGAAAGGCCCUGCUUUUGUGGGGUGCUCGAGUGGCGAACGGGUGAGUAACACGUGAGUAACCUGCCCUUGACUUUGGGAUAACUUCAGGAAACUGGGGCUAAUACCGGAUAGGAGCUCCUGCUGCAUGGUGGGGGUUGGAAAGUUUCGGCGGUUGGGGAGGGACUCGCGGCUUAUCUGCUUGUUGGUGGGGUAGUGGAUUUCCAAGGCUUUGACGGGUAGCCGGCCUGAUAGGGUGACCGGCACAAUGGGACUACGGAUAGGGCCAGGAGCCCUCGGGGAGAAAGCAGGGGGGAUUAUGGCCCAAUGGACGGAGGCCGAAGCGGGCACCGCGGCGUGGGGGAGGCCGGCUUCGGGGUUCAAAACGCAUUCGGCCUGGACCGAGGGGUGGUUACGGUAAUGGGUGAAGGAGCACCGGGUAACUUCGUU